UUAACUAUUAUAUAGUACUCAGACAGUAUAGACAAACAGAGUUUAGAUCCUCUGGCAAGCGCUCGCCGGCCGGAGCCAGCAGCCCGAAGGCAGGCCUGCCAAAGCAACAAAGUGUAAUAAACACGGGUGGGAGGUUGGACCCAGAGGGCCCUCACUCGGUAAUGAUCCUUCCGCAGGUUCACCUACGGAAA
rnacentral:misc_RNA from 1 species